rnacentral:rRNA from 1 species
GACGAACGCUGGCGGCGUGCUUAACACAUGCAAGUCGAGCGGUAAGGCCCUUUCGGGGGUACACGAGCGGCGAACGGGUGAGUAACACGUGGGUGACCUGCCCUCAGCUCUGGGAUAAGCCUGGGAAACUGGGUCUAAUACCGGAUAUGACCCCAUGACGCAUGUCGUGGGGUGGAAAGCCUUGUGCGGCUGAGGAUGGGCCCGCGGCCUAUCAGCUUGUUGGUGGGGUGAUGGCCUACCAAGGCGACGACGGGUAGCCGGCCUGAGAGGGCGACCGGCCACACUGGGACUGAGACACGGCCCAGACUCCUACGGGAGGCAGCAGUGGGGAAUCUUGCGCAAUGGGCGAAAGCCUGACGCAGCGACG